AUUGAACGCUGGCGGCAGGCUUAACACAUGCAAGUCGAGCGGGGUGAUGGUGCUUGCACUAUCACUUAGCGGCGGACGGGUGAGUAAUGCUUAGGAAUCUGCCUAUUAGUGGGGGACAACAUUUCGAAAGGAAUGCUAAUACCGCAUACGUCCUACGGGAGAAAGCAGGGGAUCUUCGGACCUUGCGCUAAUAGAUGAGCCUAAGUCGGAUUAGCUAGUUGGUGGGGUAAAGGCCUACCAAGGCGACGAUCUGUAGCGGGUCUGAGAGGAUGAUCCUCCACACCGGGACCGACCCACGGCCCAGACUCCCGCGGGAAGCAGCAGUGGUGAAUAUUGGACCAUGGGCGGAAUCCUUAUCCAGCCAUGCCGCGUGUGUGAAGAAGGCCUUAUGGUUGUAAAGCACUUUAAGCGAGGAGAAGGCUACUUUAGUUAAUACCUAGAGAUAGUGGACGUUACUCGCAGAAUAAGCACCGGCUAACUCUGUGCCAGCAGCCGCAGUAAAAC
rnacentral:rRNA from 1 species